rnacentral:tRNA from 1 species
CAAGAAAUAGUUUAAUUAGAAUAUCAGUUUUGGGUGCUGAUGGUGUGGCUUGUUGCUUCUUUCUUGA